UACAGAGGAUGCAAGCGUUAUCCGGAAUGAUUGGGCGUAAAGCGUCUGUAGGUGGCUUUUUAAGUCCGCCGUCAAAUCCCAGGGCUCAACCCUGGAAUGCCGGUGGAAACUGUCGAGCUAGAGUCCGGAAGAGGCGAGUGGAAUUCCUGGUGUAGCGGUGAAAUGCGCAGAUAUCAGGAGGAACACCAAUGGCGAAGGCAGCUCGCUGGGACGGUACUGACACUGAGACGCGAAAGCGUGGGGAGCAAACAGG
rnacentral:rRNA from 1 species